rnacentral:rRNA from 1 species
GUCCAUGCCGUAAACGAUGAUUACUAGGUGUGGGGGGUCUGACCCCCUCCGUGCCGCAGUUAACACAAUAAGUAAUCCACCUGGGGAGUACGGCCGCAAGGUUGAAACUCAAAGGAAUUGACGGGGGCCCGCACAAGCAGUGGAGUAUGUGGUUUAAUUCGAAGCAACGCGAAGAACCUUACCAGGUCUUGACAUCCGUCUAACGAAGCAGAGAUGCAUUAGGUGCCCUUCGGGGAAAGCGAGACAGGUGGUGCAUGGUUGUCGU